CAUAAUAUGAUGAAUAAUUUUCAGCUGAACUAAAUGUGGAAUUGUAAUACGAGCUUUUUAACACUGAUUUUGU